rnacentral:rRNA from 2 species
ACAUGCAAGUCGAACGAGUUCUGAUUAUUGAAAGGUGCUUGCAUCUUGAUUUAAUUUUGAACGAGUGGCGGACGGGUGAGUAACACGUGGGUAACCUGCCCUUAAGUGGGGGAUAACAUUUGGAAACAGAUGCUAAUACCGCAUAAAUCCAAGAACCGCAUGGUUCUUGGCUGAAAGAUGGCGUAAGCUAUCGCUUUUGGAUGGACCCGCGGCGUAUUAGCUAGUUGGUGAGGUAACGGCUCACCAAGGCAAUGAUACGUAGCCGAACUGAGAGGUUGAUCGGCCACAUUGGGACUGAGACACGGCCCAAACUCCUACGGGAGGCAGCAGUAGGGAAUCUUCCACAAUGGACGCAAGUCUGAUGGAGCAACGCCGCGUGAGUGAAGAAGGCUUUCGGGUCGUAAAACUCUGUUGUUGGAGAAGAAUGGUCGGCAGAGUAACUGUUGUCGGCGUGACGGUAUCCAACCAGAAAGCCACGGCUAACUACGUGCCAGCAGCCGCGGUAAUACGUAGGUGGCAAGCGUUAUCCGGAUUUAUUGGGCGUAAAGCGAGCGCAGGCGGUUUUUUAAGUCUGAUGUGAAAGCCCUCGGCUUAACCGAGGAAGUGCAUCGGAAACUGGGAAACUUGAGUGCAGAAGAGGACAGUGGAACUCCAUGUGUAGCGGUGAAAUGCGUAGAUAUAUGGAAGAACACCAGUGGCGAAGGCGGCUGUCUGGUCUGUAACUGACGCUGAGGCUCGAAAGCAUGGGUAGCGAACAGGAUUAGAUACCCUGGUAGUCCAUGCCGUA